rnacentral:lncRNA from 1 species
AAUGCAAAAUCAUUCCAAAGGACAAGAAUAGUGCCUUUUAUUUGGUAUGUAUAAUACUAGCAUCAUAAAAAUUCAACGAAGAGUACAAAAGUUCAAUGCGUUUUCCUCUGGAAAUUUAUUAAUCCAGAGUGCCAAUAAAUAACUAGAAGCCCCACACCAAGCAGCCACGGAAAUAUCCCUGAAACUGUUAAAGCUGGGUAAAUAUUCCGUUCAAUCACUGACAUGGCAGGCUCCUAUUUCACCGCUGAAAUGGUGGUUAUAUUGUCUGCUCAGUUUGAGAGAAGUCAUAACCAAGCACAUCUUUGUUUCUAAUUAAUCUAUUCAACAUCU